UACGAAUGGGGCUAGCGUUGCUCGGAAUCACUGGGCGUAAAGGGUGCUUAGGCGGGGCUUUAAGUCAGGGGGGAAAUCCUGGAGCUCAACUCCAGAACUGCCUUUGAUACUGAAGAUCUUGAGUUCGGGAGAGGUGAGUGGAACUGCGAGUGUAGAGGUGAAAUUCGUAGAUAUUCGCAAGAGCACCAGUGGCGAAGGCGGCUCACUGGCCCGAUACUGACGCUGAGGCACGAAAGCGUGGGGAGCAAACAGG
rnacentral:rRNA from 1 species